GAUGAAAACGAAGAUGAUGAGUACGAGGAACUGCACUCACACUACAAAUGUUCUAAAAUUCAGGAUAAGAGCAAGCCACCACAGUCACGACGUGAAGCACUCCAUGCUAGUAGAGUUUCUGCAUCAAUAAAGGUUUCCACAGAUAUUUUCUUAAAGAGCACAAGAUAUCCAAACAGGAAGGUUGCCUUAGGCAUAGUACUUAGCCAGGACCCCAAAAC